UUUGCAUCCUCAAAGUUGAUGUUCAUUGUUUACCAGAUCUUGUUCUUGCAUAUCGGUGGACUUGAAGGCCCGCCAACUUUUGUGGGGAACUUAAGAGGAGCGGCUAGUCUUUCAAUUUUUAUGAAAAGUGGAAUGGUCAUUUGGUUCGGAGAUGAUGUAGGUCAAUACUGGACAUUCCUGUUCAAAUGAGAAACAACUGUUGGAUUGUCGAAAAUCUGCUGAUAAAGGGAAAAAGCCUGCGGAAAAAGACGCAGGCGGUCUGCAUUUGUAAAUCAUGCUGCAAUCACUUGGCACGAGAACAGGAAAAGGUGGACAGGGGAUAAAUCUCAACAAUCGCGAACUACCUGCAAG